rnacentral:rRNA from 1 species
AUUUGACGUUAGCUGCAGAAGAAGCACCGGCUAACUCCGUGCCAGCAGCCGCGGUAAUACGGAGGGUGCGAGCGUUAAUCGGAAUUACUGGGCGUAAAGCGCAUGCAGGUGGUUUGUUAAGUCAGAUGUGAAAGCCCGGGGCUCAACCUCGGAAUUGCAUUUGAAACUGGCAGACUAGAGUACUGUAGAGGGGGGUAGAAUUUCAGGUGUAGCGGUGAAAUGCGUAGAGAUCUGAAGGAAUACCGGUGGCGAAGGCGGCCCCCUGGACAGAUACUGACACUCAGAUGCGAAAGCGUGGGGAGCAAACAGGAUUAGAUACCCUGGUAGUCCACGCCGUAAACGAUGUCUACUUGGAGGUUGUGGCCUUGAGCCGUGGCUUUCGGAGCUAACGCGUUAAGUAGACCGCCUGGGGAGUACGGUCGCAAGAUUAAAACUCAAAUGAAUUGACGGGGGCCCGCACAAGCGGUGGAGCAUGUGGUUUAAUUCGAUGCAACGCGAAGAACCUUACCUACUCUUGACAUCCAGAGAACUUUCCAGAGAUGGAUUGGUGCCUUCGGGAACUCUGAGACAGGUGCUGCAUGGCUGUCGUCAGCUCGUGUUGUGAAAUGUUGGGUUAAGUCCCGCAACGAGCGCAACCCUUAUCCUUGUUUGCCAGCGAGUAAUGUCGGGAACUCCAGGGAGACUGCCGGUGAUAAACCCGGAGGAAGGUGGGGACGACGUCAAGUCAUCAUGGCCCUUACGAGUAGGGCUACACACGUGCUACAAUGGCGCAUACAGAGGGCGGCCAACUUGCGAAAGUGAGCGAAUCCCAAAAAGUGCGUCGUAGUCCGGAUCGGAGUCUGCAACUCGACUCCGUGAAGUCGGAAUCGCUAGUAAUCGUGGAUCAGAAUGCCACGGUGAAUACGUUCCCGGGCCUUGUACACACCGCCCGUCACACCAUGGGAGUGGGCUGCAAAAGAAGUGGGUAGUUUAACCUUCGGGAGGACGCUCACCACUUUGUGGUUCAUGACUGGGGUGAAGUCGUAACAAGGUAGCCCUAGGGGAACCUGGGGCUG